rnacentral:rRNA from 1 species
ACGUAGGUGGCGAGCGUUAUCCGGAUUUAUUGGGCGUAAAGCGUGCGCAGACGGUUUACUAAGUCUAAAAUUAAAGCCCGAAGCUUAACUUCGGUUCGUUUUAGAAACUGGUAGGCUUGAGUAUGGUAGAGGCAAAUGGAAUUUCUAGUGUAGCGGUAAAAUGCGUAGAUAUUAGAAGGAACAUCAGUGGCGAAGGCGAUUUGCUGGGCCAUUACUGACGUUCAUGCACGAAAGCGUGGGGAGCAAAUAG